AACGAACGCUGGCGGCAGGCUUAACACAUGCAAGUCGAGCGCCCCGCAAGGGGAGCGGCAGACGGGUGAGUAACGCGUGGGAACGUACUCUUUGCUAGGGAAUAGCUCCGGGAAACUGGAAUUAAUACCGUAUGUGCCCUACGGGGGAAAGAUUUAUCGGCAAAGGAUCGGCCCGCGUUGGAUUAGCUAGUUGGUGGGGUAAUGGCCUACCAAGGCGACGAUCCAUAGCUGGUCUGAGAGGAUGAUCAGCCACAUUGGGACUGAGACACGGCCCAAACUCCGACGGGAGGCAGCAGUGGGGAAUAUUGGACAAUGGGCGCAAGCCUGAUCCAGCCAUGCCGCGUGAGUGAUGAAGGCCUUAGGGUUGUAAAGCUCUUUCACCGGAGAAGAUAAUGACGGUAUCCGGAGAAGAAGCCCCGGCUAACUCCGUGCCAGCCGCCGCCGUAACAC
rnacentral:rRNA from 1 species